AGUGGGAUAGCUGGGUCAAAUGGUGGUUCCAUUCCAAGUUUUUUGAGGAAUCUCCAUACUGCUUUCCAGAUUGAUUCCACCAAUUUGCAGUCCCACCAGUAAU
rnacentral:pre_miRNA from 1 species